rnacentral:rRNA from 2 species
ACACCUACGGGAGGCUGCCGUGGGGAAUUUUCCGCAAUGGGCGCAAGCCUGACGGAGCAACGCCGCGUGAGGGAUGAAGGCCUUUGGGCUGUAAACCUCUUUUCUCAAGGAAGAAGAUAUGACGGUACUUGAGGAAUAAGCCACGGCUAAUUCCGUGCCAGCAGCCGCGGUAAUACGGGAGUGGCAAGCGUUAUCCGGAAUUAUUGGGCGUAAAGCGUCCGCAGGCGGCCGUUUAAGUCUGUUGUUAAAUAGUGGAGCUCAACUCCAUCACGGCAAUGGAAACUGUUCGGCUUGAGUAUGGUAGGGGCAGAGGGAAUUUCCGGUGUAGCGGUGAAAUGCGUAGAUAUCGGGAAGAACACCAGUGGCAAAAGCGCUCUGCUGGGCCAUUACUGACGCUCAUGGACGAAAGCCAGGGGAGCGAAAGGGAUUAGAUACCCCUGUAGUCCUGGCCGUAAACGAUGAACACUAGAUGUUGGGGGAAUCGACCCCUCCGGUGUCGUAGCUAACGCGUUAAGUGUUCCGCCUGGGGAGUACGCACGCAAGUGUGAAACUCAAAGGAAUUGACGGGGGCCCGCACAAGCGGUGGAGUAUGUGGUUUAAUUCGAUGCAACGCGAAGAACCUUACCAAGGCUUGACAUCCCGCGAAUCUUCAAGAAAUUGGAGAGUGCCUUCGGGAACGCAGUGACAGGUGGUGCAUGGCUGUCGUCAGCUCGUGUCGUGAGAU